CCACCCGCUCGCGGGCGCUUUACGGGGCGUCCUCUGCGCCAUUCACUUGUCAGCUUGUCGGGAAGUUGAAAUCGCGUUUGGGAGAGAUGGGGUUUCACCAUGUUGGCUGAGUUGGUCUCAAACUCCUGACCUCAAGCAAUCCACCUGCCUCAGCCUCCCAAAGUCCUGGGAUUGCAGGUGUAAGCCAUCGUGCCCGGCCGGUAGGUUGAGUUUUAAUGGUGUCUGUGAAGAUGCAAGUUCAGCUGUAGCCUGGAAGUGUGACCUGGCAUCUGAGAGGAGCACUGCAGCACCCCUUUUCUGUGCUGCUUGCAUUGGCAUCCAUGGCCAGUUUGAGUUGGACUGUCUGCCACCUGAGCAAGAGAAAUCCCACCUGCCAAGCCUCUCGGCAGACGGUGGUGCAGCCUCCACAGCCUGGUCUUCAGAUUGUAACUCCGGCCCCUGCUCUGAGCUGGACCCCUCUAGAUCAAGUUUGCAAAUCCUGCGAGAGCCCAGGUGGAGCUUCUGACACGGUGCACAGAAGCAGCCUGGCAUAGCGUGUGAG
rnacentral:lncRNA from 10 species